rnacentral:rRNA from 1 species
ACCAAAGUCAAAAUAUGUCUUAUACGCCUGACCUCGGAAGCUAAGCAGGGUCGGGUCUGGUUAGUACUUGGAUGGGAGACCACCUUGGAAAGUCAGGUGCUGUAGGCA